rnacentral:misc_RNA from 1 species
GAUGAAGAACGCAGCGAAAUGCGAUAAGUAAUGUGAAUUGCAGAAUUCAGUGAAUCAUCGAAUCUUUGAACGCACAUUGCGCCCGCCAGUAUUCUGGCGGGCAUGCCUGUCUGAGCGUCAUUUCAACCCUCAUGCCCCUAGGGCGUGGUGUUGGGGAUCGGCCAAAGCCCGCGAGGGACGGCCGGCCCCUAAAUCUAGUGGCGGACCCGUCGUGGCCUCCUCUGCGAAGUAGUGAUAUUCCGCAUCGGAGAGCGACGAGCCCCUGCCGUUAAACCCCCAACUUUCCAAGGUUGACCUCGGAUCAGGUAGGGAUACCCGCUGAACUUAAGCAUAUCAAUAAGCGGAGGA